rnacentral:lncRNA from 1 species
UCCAUUUAAUCAUCCAGUCAUAAUUACCAAAUAUUCUGUCCAAUCUGCUACAAACUCUAUCAUUGCCAGUUUGUUUGUUGGUCCAUCUGAAGAAUUCCCCUUUCUAAGGAAGUUCUAAUAAUUCAUCCAGUUGAAUACGUUGAGUGAAAUCCAGAAUUUCAGCUUGUUUAACUUGGUUACAUGAUUGUCUAUCAUUGAUAGACAUCACAGCAUUGAAAUCACCUGCUACCAGCCAAGGAUCAGUAAUACCAGCAGCAAGAGUUUGUAGUUGAUGCCACAUUGUUCUUCUUUGAUCCAAGCCAUUGAAACCAUACACCACAGUGAG